rnacentral:misc_RNA from 1 species
GAUGAAGAACGUAGCGAAAUGCGAUAAGUAAUGUGAAUUGCAGAAUUCAGUGAAUCAUCGAAUCUUUGAACGCACAUUGCGCCCGCCAGUAUUCUGGCGGGCAUGCCUGUUCGAGCGUCAUUACAACCCUCAGGCCCCCGGGCCUGGCGUUGGGGAUCGGCGGAAGCCCCCUGCGGGCACAACGCCGUCCCCCAAAUACAGUGGCGGUCCCGCCGCAGCUUCCAUUGCGUAGUAGCUAACACCUCGCAACUGGAGAGCGGCGCGGCCACGCCGUAAAACACCCAACUUCUGAAUGUUGACCUCGAAUCAGGUAGGAAUACCCGCUGAACUUAAGCAUAUCAAAAGCGGAGGA